CGGCGUAUGAUGUACGAUUGCAUGGACGGUCUCUAAAACCGUGUGGCCUCUGAAGCCGACCGGGUGGGUUUGACUCCUACUACGCCGACCA
rnacentral:tRNA from 1 species